CGUCCUUGUUUGUAAAGCUAGCAAAGAAGAAUGUUAAUCUUUUGAGAGAAACAAAACACCAAGAACGUGCAAUAACUAUUCAAUAUACAAAAAGGGUAUGGAAACCAUUUUCUCCUAUGAACCAACAACCAUGGAAGCAAGCACACGGACACGGCUAUCCCAAUCCAUCUUUGAAUUUUAUAGCAAAAAUUAAAAUCUCAAGGGUGUUCUUCGUGCAAGGAGGCGGCAAUACAAGAAUAUUGAAUUGAGGAAGGAGAAAUUGUGAAAUUAGAACAAAUAAGUGUAGAAAUUCCUCCGAGUAAGUUAAGACAAACAAGUUGGACGAAUAGGCGUAGCUAGUAAGGCGCGACACAGGUAUGUUAAGGCUCGACCUUUUCCUUCUAUGGCAUGAUCUCUAUGUCGCAAGUUUACGAAUGUUUUCAUAGUCCCCUUAUUUUCAAAAGUUAGAAGCCCAUGACACCAAGGUAUAAGCCUCUCCUUAAUAGUUUACAAACUAUUUUCCAAAAUGCCCAUAUUUUUCGAAAAACCAAGUUUUAAGAAGUUGAAAGCUUUUAUGACUAAAACGACGAAUAUGAUUCUUAUAAUGAAAAUGAUAAUGCCAGAUAUGAGAAAACGUCUAUGAUGAUGAGUAUGUAAUAACAGUUCCAUGUUGGGAAAUCCUAAGUUAUGGGUUCGAUACGAAUAUGAGAAUAUUGAGUUAUUUCUUGAUUCUCAAUUUUACUCCUUGAUAACGAUUCUAUUUUUUUUCAAAAA